rnacentral:rRNA from 1 species
UACAGAGGGGGCAAGCGUUGUUCGGAAUUACUGGGCGUAAAGGGCGCGUAGGCGGCCUGUUAAGUCGAACGUGAAAUCCCCGGGCUCAACCCGGGAACUGCGUCCGAUACUGGCAGGCUUGAAUUCGGGAGAGGGAUGUGGAAUUCCAGGUGUAGCGGUGAAAUGCGUAGAUAUCAGGAGGAACACCGGUGGCGAAGGCGGGUCUCUGGGCCGAUGACUGACGCUGAGGAGCGAAAGCGUGGGGAGCGAACAGG